rnacentral:rRNA from 1 species
AUUGAACGCUGGCGGCAGGCCUAACACAUGCAAGUCGAACGGCAGCACAGAAGAGCUUGCUCUUUGGGUGGCGAGUGGCGGACGGGUGAGUAAUGUCUGGGAAACUGCCCGAUGGAGGGGGAUAACUACUGGAAACGGUAGCUAGUACCGCAUAACGUCGCAAGACCAAAGUGGGGGACCUUCGGGCCUCACACCAUCGGAUGUGCCCAGAUGGGAUUAGCUAGUAGGUGGGGUAAUGGCUCACCUAGGCGACGAUCCCUAGCUGGUCUGAGAGGAUGACCAGCCACACUGGAACUGAGACACGGUCCAGACUCCUACGGGAGGCAGCAGUGGGGAAUAUUGCACAAUGGGCGCAAGCCUGAUGCAGCCAUGCCGCGUGUAUGAAGAAGGCCUUCGGGUUGUAAAGUACUUUCAGCGGGGAGGAAGGCGGUGAGAUUAAUAACCUUGCCGAUUGACGUUACCCGCAGAAGAAGCACCGGCUAACUCCGUGCCAGCCGCCGCAGUAA